rnacentral:rRNA from 1 species
CAUGCAAGUCGAACGGACCCUUCGGGGUUAGUGGCGGACGGGUGAGUAACACGUGGGAACGUGCCUUUUGGUUCGGAACAACUCAGGGAAACUUGAGCUAAUACCGAAUGUGCCCUUCGGGGGAAAGAUUUAUCGCCAUUAGAGCGGCCCGCGUCUGAUUAGCUUGUUGGUGAGGUAAUGGCUCACCAAGGCGACGAUCAGUAGCUGGUCUGAGAGGAUGAUCAGCCACAUUGGGACUGAGACACGGCCCAAACUCCUACGGGAGGCAGCAGUGGGGAAUCUUGCGCAAUGGGCGAAAGCCUGACGCAGCCAUGCCGCGUGAAUGAUGAAGGUCUUAGGAUUGUAAAAUUCUUUCACCGGGGACGAUAAUGACGGUACCCGGAGAAGAAGCCCCGGCUAACUUCGUGCCAGCAGCCGCGGUAAUACGAAGGGGGCUAGCGUUGCUCGGAAUUACUGGGCGUAAAGGGAGCGUAGGCGGAUAGUUCAGUCAGAGGUGAAAGCCCAGGGCUCAACCUUGGAACUGCCUUUGAUACUGGCUAUCUUGAGUUUGGGAGAGGUAUGUGGAACUCCGAGUGUAGAGGUGAAAUUCGUAGAUAUUCGGAAGAACACCAGUGGCGAAGGCGACAUACUGGCCCAAUACUGACGCUGAGGCUCGAAAGCGUGGGGAGCAAACAGGAUUAGAUACCCUGGUAGUCCACGCUGUAAACGAUGAGUGCUAGUUGUCGGCAUGCAUGCAUGUCGGUGACGCAGCUAACGCAUUAAGCACUCCGCCUGGGGA